rnacentral:rRNA from 1 species
UCCAGACUCCUACGGGAGGCAGCAGUGGGGAAUAUUGCACAAUGGGGGAAACCCUGAUGCAGCAACGCCGCGUGGGUGAAGGAGCGUUUCGGCGCGUAAAGCCCUGUCAGCGGGGAAGAAGAAAGACGGUACCCGACCAAGAAGCCCCGGCUAACUACGUGCCAGCAGCCGCGGUAAUACGUAGGGGGCGAGCGUUAUCCGGAAUUACUGGGUGUAAAGGGAGCGUAGGCGGGGAUGCAAGUUGGGUGUCAAAACUACCGGCUCAACUGGUAGUCGCACUCAAAACUGCAGCUCUUGAGUGAAGUAGAGGCAGGCGGAAUUCCUAGUGUAGCGGUGAAAUGCGUAGAUAUUAGGAGGAACACCAGUGGCGAAGGCGGCCUGCUGGGCUUUUACUGACGCUGAGGCUCGAAAGUGUGGGGAGCAAACAGGAUUAGAUACCCUAGUACU